GACGAACACUGGCGGCGUGCUUAACACAUGCAAGUCGAACGCUGAAGCUCAGCUUUUGUUGGGUGGAUGAGUGGCGAACGGGUGAGUAACACGUGAGUAACCUGCCCCCUUCUUUGGGAUAACGCCCGGAAACGGGUGCUAAUACUGGAUAUUCACUGGUCUUCGCAUGGGGGUUGGUGGAAAGGGUUUUUCUGGUGGGGGAUGGGCUCGCGGCCUAUCAGCUUGUUGGUGGGGUGAUGGCCUACCAAGGCUUUGACGGGUAGCCGGCCUGAGAGGGUGACCGGUCACAUUGGGACUGAGAUACGGCCCAGACUCCUACGGGAGGCAGCAGUGGGGAAUAUUGCACAAUGGGCGCAAGCCUGAUGCAGCGACGCCGCGUGAGGGAUGGAGGCCUUCGGGUUGUGAACCUCUUUCGCUCAUGGUCAAGCCGCAACAAUGGUUGUGGUGAGGGUAGUGGGUAAAGAAGCGCCGGCUAACUACGUG
rnacentral:rRNA from 1 species